UACUGAAAUGUAUAUUAAAAAAUAGACGCUGAUACUUAGAAGUGUUUACUGAUUAUUCUUAAGUAUUUUCUUAUUUACUCGGAAUUUGAUUAAAAGGAAAACAUACAAGAAACGCACGUCAACACUUUUUUAAAUCAGUUUACACUUGAGAUGUAUACAAUCCUCAAAAUAUUUACUUUUCUACAUUUAUUUAUCGACAACCAGCAUGUCGUUCGUUUCGUCCGAAAGUGAAGAUAGUGGCAAUGAGAGUGUUUCAAAAAGUAAAGAGUCGGAUGUAACAUUUGUGGCCAAAUAUUUGAGGGAUAACCCUAUUAUUUUAAAUAAAGGGAAAACUCCGGAGAUAAAUUAAUAAAAAACAAGACGUCUUAGCCACUCUUAAACAACAUUAUGAGAGUAAGUUAUCAUGUCUUAUUAUAAAAUGUUGUAAGCUAACUAUGAAAGCAUUGUAGAUAAAUUUGGAAAACCAACAAACUCCAAAAAAUUAUUAAAAAAAAUAAUAUCCUGAAGGCGGUAGUAAAAAAACUCAUGCCAACAUAACUGGGAAUAAAAAGAAAAAUCUAAGUGCAGCAAACUCAUGUACACGGCACUACAAGGGGAUCAAGAGGAGUGCAAUCCUGUUCUUUUCAAAAUACCUGAUAAAAUAAUUAUAUUUUUAUUACAUAUAAGGUAGCUAGUGUAAUAUUUCGUUUCAGGACAUGUUGCAGUCGGAAUCCUUCUGAUGAACAGUUCAUGGUUCUAUAAUUUUUGUCCGUCAGUCGCUUCAACACUGCCACCAUCGUUACCUGCACGUCCAAAGCGACAAAAAUUAUAGAACAAUACGAAACGGAGGAAACACGUACGUUAAGCACGACGGAGCUACAAAGAUUGGUGCUUUUGAAGUAACUACAUGUUCUAAAUCUUAAAAAGGCAAAACUGGAGAAAGAAUUAAAUAAAGAUCACGUUCUAAGAGAAGGAGAGAAAACUUAUAGUAUGUUGUAAUAAUUAGAUAUAUGUAUUUUCAAUUUAAUAAAAAUUAUGUUAGUUAUUUUGAUUGGCGUAAAUAAUUGUGGCUAAACGGUUACGUAUGACUUGACCUUCCCUUCGAAGUUCAAGUCGUCCAACAGGUGCUUCAUCUUCGAUGUUGUCAUCGUCUAAAGGUAAGCCUUCUUCAAUCUCAAACACUUCUUCAUCUUUUAAAUACUUUCCAAUAUUAUGAAGAACACAACAUGCUAUCAUAAUAGAUGGCACUUUUCUUAAUGGCAGUCUAAUUGUAUUUUGUAAUAAAGGGAAUCGUUGCUUUAAAUGUCCGAAGACGACAAAGUUUCGAUAGUUACAGUAUUAACUUACGAAACCGUAAGUAUUAAGUAUCUACUGAUUUUUAUUAAUACCACUAAAUGAGUGGUAUGAAUAAAAAUGAAGUACAUGCUAAUACUAAAAAUUUAAGGAUCUACUUAGAAGUAUUUUCUUCAUCAUGAAGCAUUUGGUCGGUUCAGGUAGAACUUGCUUGACGUCGGAGUAUUUACUACACUGAUUAAAUUAUUUACUUUUAGUCUACAGUAUAUUCUUCAACAUUUUUGUAGCAUCUUCUCGGCCUAUCUGCUUUGUUUAUUUUUCAAAUCGGUAAUAUUCGUAGAAAGGUUUAAACAGCUAUGCACGUAAAGUUUAGGUUAAUGUUUACAUUUGUGAUAAGGAAUCCCAAAAUAACUCGUUUAAAAUGUAAAAUUCCCCCUUCCGGACACUGCACACUCAAUGUACGUACUGUCUUGAUCAUUUGGUUUUACCAUUGCCUUCAGUAAAAUUGUUGAAGUAGAAGUGGUGUAUUAUCCGACGUUCGGUUAGACAAAAAUGUCUUCAGAUGAAGAAAUGCCUCAAGAAGAAGAGUCCCAAAUGGAAGAUUAUAACAAUAAUACAAAAGUUGGACAGUAAGCAAAUACUAAAAAAAAUAAUAACAUGAAAAGCAAAAUAAAGAAAAUAACGGAUAUGAAAAGAACAGGAACUAAGAAGAUUAAAUUAAAUGAAUGGCAACAAAAAUUUUAUGACCUAUGCAACGGAAAUGAGAAUCCACUAAUACAAAGAGUCCCAGGUGGGGUAAAUGCAGGCACCAGUCGAGAUGCAAAUGCCGAUCGAUUUUUUGAGGAAGAGGAUUUUAGUGACGCCAACCAAUCGAUUGAACAAUAAUUGCAAAAAACUUUAGUUCUGAAACAAAUAAAUGAGGCUAUAGCUCAAGAAAAGGCUGCUAUAGCUCAGGACAAAGCUGCCACAUCUGUGGAAAAAACUGCAGGGGCUUUAGAACCAUUUAUAGUAAAUUACUUUGCACGACACUUUGAUGGUUGAAAAAAAUGGGAAAUUGGUGUAUCUAUUAUUCUCAUUAAACUUUUAGUUGGUUUUCAUAAAAAAAUGUUUGGGGUUUGCGUUUCUAUUCCAAUUACUUUUAAUUUUAAUUAUAUUAUAAGUUUUCCUGGAAAAUAAAAAACAAAAAAUAUUAGAUUAUUUCUUUAUUAUUUCAACGUUGUCUAUACAGGGUUAUCAUUUUAGUUUGGCCCACUUUUAAAAGCUUAUAACUUUUUUAUUCUUUUAAUUAAUUGUUUUUGCAUGCUUUUGUCAAUCUUCAAUGAAAUUAAGAAGAAGAAUGCAAAUAUGUGAUACAUUUCUGAAUUCGGAGAAAAGAGGACUAUCUAAUGCGCUACUAAUAUACAGGGUGUCCCAUUUAAAAAGUUUUUUUUAGUUUUAAAAAUCUGACAUGUAACACCUACUGUCAUUUUUGACAACACUCGCAAAAACUUGUCUGAAACUUCUACAAUAUGUUUUUUGAAUGAAUGCUUUAACACAACAAACAAAAAAGUUAUAAGCUUUUAAAAGUGGGUCAAACUAAAAUGAUAACCCUGUACAUCAAUUCCGCAAUCUCAUUACGAACCUGAAUACCUCGACGUCUUAUAUCAGCGUUAUUUAGUUCAGUUCUUCGACAUCCAUUUCUUCAAACUGUUCAAGUGGAUCAUUCAACGACUUUUACGCACAAUUACGUAAAAUAAAUCCACACAUAAUAUAUCGACAUAUUCUGUUAGUUUUAAGUCGUACUGUAUAGUUUAACAUUGGGAAUCUUCUUUUCAACUGCCCAAAGCAUCUUUCUAUAAUAACACGUUCUUUUGCAUGUAUUUUAUUGAAAUAUUUUUCACUAUUUGUUGUCGGAUUUUGGAACGGUGUGAGCAUCCACGGAGUUACAGCAUAUCCGGAACCACACAAAAGACAUACCCUUUCUGGAUUGUUAUACAUAACAGGAUAAGUGGAAGAAUUGUACCAAAUUCUAGAACUAUGGACAGAUCCAGGCCAUGUUGCAUAUAAGUUGGUAAACAUUUCUCUACUGUCACAUGUGGCUUGUAUAUUUAUUGAGGAGUUUCGUUUACUUCUGUCAGAAAUGUAGUAGCCAGUUUAUACUAGUCGCCAAACAAUGGCCCGGAUGGACGAUAGGAAAAUCGAACAAUUGAUAUUAUUAGUUAGGGAAUAUGAUGAAUUAUUUGAUUAAUUGGAGAAAAUGGUAAGUUAGUUUUAAUAAUAUAGGUAACUAAACUGAAUUUUGUGUUGCAAUUAAAGUCACAUGAAAAUCGUUUUUUAGGAAUUGUAACUAAAUAUCGUGCUAAGAGGUAAAGGUAUAGAAAUAAGCUCGGAAAUAAGAAAUUAUAACCACAGCAAGUUUUUGCUUUAUUAAACAGUCAAUAUUUACAAAACUAGAACAAUACUGUAAGCCGUUUUCAAAAAGAAAAAAAGUAGAUUAAAAAAUAGAAACCAGAAAGCCGACUACAAAGAAGAAAAGAAAUAUAAAGUAAAUCGAUAAAUUACCGUUAAACGUAUAAGAAGUUUGUCAAUAUAUUUUUUUGCGCGUUAUAACUGCGCGUCACUUGUUCAAGUCAAACACCUUAAAUUUUGGAUCAUUUUUAAAAGUUCGUUUCUCAAUAACAAGAGGGCCGAUUUUGCUGAAAUUUGGAUAGGAUUUAAACCUAUCCUCUGGUAUCCUAAUUUUUAAUUGAUGACAAAAUUUAACAUACCUGCUUUAAGAUACAGGGUGAAACACAAACUGCUGUAAUUUUACGAAAACUUUAAGUGAUCCCCAUUUUGCUAUUUUGGUGUCGAAUAACAGAUUUUAAUUAAAUAGGUAUUUCUUUUUAGCCGACACUUGCUAAAAAAAUGGAAAAGCUUAUGGUAUGGCUUUCAACGAGCAAACAAAAACGUAACCAAGAGUAGUCAAGCUGCGAAAAAUAUUAAAAAAUGGGAAACGAUGUCAUUUCUUCAGCCAUAUAUAAAAGGCAGACAACACCAUACAAACAUCGUCGAAGAGCAGGUCACAGAACAAACUGAUGUUGUUACGAGUCAAAAAUUUUAUAAGAAAAUUCAGUAGGCAGUCAUUUUCUACAGUUCCUUAAGAGCAUGAGAUACUCAGCUUGUUUAUGAGCAUACUCACUUGUUUAUCAUUUGGUUCUAUUCAUUAUAUGUAUUUAUAUUUUCAAUAGGGUUUCUUUGAUAUAUUUUGUACUUCUAGCUGUUAAAAAGAAAUAAAAUAUGAGUUACUUUCUAUAAAUUUAAUUAUUGUUAUUAUGAAAUAAAUUUUUAUUUGAAAA
rnacentral:lncRNA from 1 species